AGCAGAAGUUUGGUGUUUACCAAGUUUGCCGCUAGCGGAGGUUCGCACGCAAGGCCUCGAACGUAGUUGUGGUCUGUAACCCUGUAUUGGGGACCUGUUGAAUUUCUGGCUGGAUGUUUACUACAUAGGUGGCAUGUGAACCCCCAUCUGUAGCCUGAAGUGGUGCAGCCCAGACCGCAGAGAGGACUGUGACCGGCUUUUCUCUAGCUGCGGGCCUGCUAGAGAAGCACUUCAAGGGUCAGGUCAUUGACCUUCCUCCCCAGUCCACCGACUGCAUCUUGAAAUAUCAAUAAGAUCAAAGAUACGCAAGAGCAGCAUGAACAGAUUUAUGGCCCCAGAAUCAAAUGGACAAAAAUCCAGCAUGCAUUGAUUGCAAUCUCAAGAUUUAUUAGGAAAGCAGGGAAGGGCAGAUACCAGAAGAGGAGGAGGAAGAAAAUCUUGUCCAGUCUGUCCAGCACCACUUUGGCCUCCUUCUCCUCUUUGAACAGUGCGUGGACCUCUUCCUCAAUUGGGCCUCUUCCUCAGUUAAGCCGGCUGGAGAGAUCCCUCCCCUCAUCUUCUUCCACCCCAUGGGAAGGUGGCAGCUAUUUGCGGACCCUGCCCAGACUCCGUAGACCCGGGCUCAAGGAGCUUUGCAGGGAAUUUUCAGCCCAUGACAAUGUGGAAUUCAACUUGCAUAAAAAGCAGUUGCAAGAGUUGUGUGGGGGCCCCACACCCCACUCUGAGUCCUUGGCCAAUUUGUUCUCUGUGGUGCCCAGACGCCAGGGUGAUGGCCCUUUGCCACAGGGGUGGCAGCCAGGGAGUGAUGUGAAGUGUGCUCUCCAGCAAAAGACUCCAGCCACGCUUCUUGACCACCAGGGCCAUCAUGCUUUGAGAGAGGGGCAGCAAAUGCGGAGAGCCUGUGAUAUGCCAGUCAAACCACUCCUGCCCACAACCAUCCCUUCAAUGCCCCAUCCGGAGCAGAGAGACGAAGAGAGGCCUGUCAUGGUAGGACUGGCCCCAGACUUCCAGGGACCUCCUGAAGCCCCUUCACACAUGGAGCACCCUGUCUGCCCAGGCUGUGCCCACUGCAGAUCCUCUUGUUCCCACCCCCAUACUCAGCAAGAUCCUUACCUGCCAAGUGGCCCACAACUGACCAUGAACGGUGGCCAUGUGUAUAUGGGUGGUGCGCAUAUUAGGUCAUGUGGAUAUGACUUGGACUUAAGGCUCAAGAGGAGCCAUGCCAGGAAAAGGGGGCCGUUGGAGGACACGGAGGUGAAUGCGUUUCAGGAGCCUCUUCGAGGGCAAGACCGUAGCAUCAGGAAAUACCACCUCAAAUCUGAUCAGGAGGAGGACCAGGAGGACCCUCAUGAGUCUUCAAGCCAAAUUAAGUAUCAACCUCUGAAGAAUACCACAAACCAGGCUAGCUGCCAUCUUAUGAGGUGGUUUAAAAAGAAAAGGGCAGCCCCAGAGAAGUGCCCCACCAGGCCCCACCAGCCCCAGCAUGCCCCAGCAAGAAAGAAAGACCAGGACUUCCACAGCUCUGAAGAAAGGCCUAGGACAAAAAAGCAAAAGAUUCUUUCUGCCUUCAAGCAAGUCUGGGAUGGGAUCCGAGGGAGAAGAACAAAAACUGUCAAGCUCCCUGAGAAGCAGGCUUCAGCUCCUCUUCCUCAAAAAUCAGGGAAUGCAGCAAACAUGCCUUCCUCCUCCCCAAUAUUUCCCUCUUCCAAAUCUGGGAAGAUGCCACCAAAACCAUCAGGAAAG